UUAAUGUCCAUCUGUCACUGU
rnacentral:miRNA from 1 species